CCAAAAAUCAAAACUUCAUGGUCCGUAGAGUUUUGGACGCUGAGUCGAAUGGUGAAGGUCCCACUUCGAUCCGACCAAGCGUUCUUGAGAUAUAUCAGUUUGCAAUUGUCCUUUUCGGGUCCGUGCCGUGACGUCACAAACCCGUGACGUCAUUGAGACUUGGUGAUCCUUUGGCCAGAUCCAGAAACACUGGGAUUUCGCAUCUUCUUUCUGUUUGUCCAUGGAAGAAGAGGGUAUUUGUGUCAUCAUGGCGUCUGGCUGUGUUGUUGGCUACUAUAAUCUUACUGGCAACCCCCCUGGGAUGAACCUGCACCAAUUUCUGAAGGAUUGUGCUUGGCACAGGCCGAGCAGUGCACCAUAGCAGCUAUCAAGCGACAUAAUUAUUUGCUUGACAAUUUAGGGACUACAAUGUAAAUCCUUCGCGUGUGUUCCAGCCAUUUGGCAGAGGAGGAUUUUCAGGAGGAAUAUUAUGCACUCAUCCGAUGCGGACGCUGGUGGAUGAAACUGUGGUGCGUCCUUUUUCGCACGCCACACUGUAAAGUGUCAGUCGAAAAGCGGAGGAAGAAGAUCAAGAGCGGCUGUACCAUCGGUCGCAGUGACUCACUGUUGAGCUACGACCACUGCCACCGCCCCAAGGUUAUAGGAAGGACUGUUUGCAGCGCCAGCGCCUCUAGCUGGCAUGUUUUUUUCCUGUAUGAACACGCAGUAUGUACUGCUGAUAAGCUACAUCACGCAAUGACCCGCAGUUCAAGGAGAGAAGAUAGUCCACAUACCAGCAACGGUGUACACCUAUUCGGGAACUCGUUGGGUUUUCUCAGUAUGGAUGCAGAUGAGAGCCAGACAUUAUUAUUGUGUGUAUGCGUGCAAGCGCGUGAGUGUGUGUGUGCGCGCGCGCACGCGCGUGAGUGUGCGCGCACGAGCGUGAGUGUGUGCGUGCGCGCGCCCGUGAGUGUGUGUGCGCGCACGUGAGUGUGUUUGCGCGCACGCGCGUGAGAGACAGACAUUAUUAUUAUUGUGUGUGUGGGUGCACGCGCGUGAGUGUGUGGGUGCGCGCGCACGCGCGUAACACUGAGUGUGUGUGCGCGCGCAUGCGCGUGAGUGUGUGUGCACGCACUUGCGUGAGUGUGUGUGUGUGCGUGCACAUGCGUGUGCUUUUGUUUAAUGUAAUAUAACAUUCCAAAGAUAUUCACGUCAUCUAUUCUGUGUUCUCCUUUAUGUCAUUCUCUCCCCAUUUGCGGGAGGGACAUGGAAUGACAAGUAGUAGAUGCAUUGCCGUUAG